rnacentral:lncRNA from 1 species
CCACACGUCAGUCCUAGCGACUUUUCCCUUCAUUACAUUUCUUUCCCCACCACAUUCAACCGCUAACGCAAACGUUAUUUCCACGCCACAAGUUUUUUUUUCUUUUCAUUUUUCUACUAAUUUUAUUGAUUAAAUAGACACGAUUCGAUCGAGGUUACAAUUUCCAUACUUUUUAUUUAUUUUUAUUUGACUAUAUAGCCAAGGUCAAGUCGACACUACAUAUUUAUGACUAAUUUAUUC